GCCGUAAUAGUAUAGUGGACAGUACAUCAGUUUGUGGACCUAGCGAAACACUGAAAACCGAGGUUCGAUUCCUCGUUACGGCA
rfam:Trichoderma virens Gv29-8 TRIVIscaffold_6, whole genome shotgun sequence.